rnacentral:rRNA from 1 species
GAUGAACGCUGGCGGCGUGCCUAAUACAUGCAAGUCGAGCGAACGGACGAGAAGCUUGCUUCUCUGAUGUUAGCGGCGGACGGGUGAGUAACACGUGGAUAACCUACCUAUAAGACUGGGAUAACUUCGGGAAACCGGAGCUAACACCGGAUAAUAUUUUGAACCGCAUGGUUCAACAGUGAAAGACGGUCUUGCUGUCACUUAUAGAUGGAUCCGCGCUGCAUUAGCUAGUUGGUAAGGUAACGGCUUACCAAGGCAACGAUGCAUAGCCGACCUGAGAGGGUGAUCGGCCACACUGGAACUGAGACACGGUCCAGACUCCUACGGGAGGCAGCAGUAGGGAAUCUUCCGCAAUGGGCGAAAGCCUGACGGAGCAACGCCGCGUGAGUGAUGAAGGUCUUCGGAUCGUAAAACUCUGUUAUUAGGGAAGAACAUAUGUGUAAGUAACUGUGCACAUCUUGACGGUACCUAAUCAGAAAGCCACGGCUAACUACGUG